rnacentral:rRNA from 1 species
UGUUUUAUCAAAAACAUGUCUUUUUGAUAAUAAUUUAAAGUCUAAUCUGCCCACUGAUAAUAAAAUUAAAGGGCUGCAGUAUAUUGACUGUACAAAGGUAGCAUAAUCAUUAGUCUUUUAAUUGAAGACUUGUAUGAAAGAUUUGAUGAAAUAUAAACUGUCUCUAAUUUAUUUAUAAAAUUUAAUUUUUUAGUUAAAAAGCUAAAAUAAAAUUAAAAGACGAGAAGACCCUAUAGAGUUUUAUAUAUUAAUUAAUUAAAAUUAAUUAUAAAAUUAUAUAUUUAAAUUAAUUAAUAUAUUAUGUUGGGGUGAUAGAAAAAUUAAAAUAACUUUUUUUUUAAAAAAAACAUAAAUAAAUGAUUAAUUGAUCCAUUAAUAAUGAUUAUAAGAGAAAAUUACCUUAGGGAUAACAGCGUAAUAUUUUUUUUUAGUACAAAUAAAAAAGAAAGUUUGCGACCUCGAUGUUGGAUUAAGAUAAAAUUUAAAUGCAAAAGUUAAAG